GUCUGCUGGAGAUAUAAGAAGUCUAGCCUGCUCUCUGAUUAGUUUAAGGGCCGCGGUAAUUUGACCGUGCAAAGGUAGCAUAAUAGUUAGUUUUUUAAUUGGAAUCUUGUAUGAAUGGUUGGACAAAAGAAAUACUGUCUCUAUAAUUUAUAUUGAAUUUAACUUUUGAGUGAAAAGGCUUAAAUUAUUUAAAAAGACGAUAAGACCCUAUAAAUCUUUAUAAAUAAAUUCUGUUUAAUCAAAUUUAAGAUAAUGGUUUAAUAGUUUUUUUUAUUUUGUUGGGGAGACAAUAUUAUAAUUUAAAAUAACUGUGAGUUAGUAAAACAAAUAUAAAUGGUUUAGAAUUAAAUGAUCCUAUUUAAAGAUUAAAAGUUUAAGUUACUUUAGGGAUAACAGCGUUAUUUUUUUUGAGAGUUCAUAUCGAAAAAAAAGAUUGCGACCUCGAUGUUGAAUUAAAAUUUCUAGGUAAUUGCAGAAGUUACUUUAGAAGGUCUGUUCGACCUUUAAAUUUUUACAUGAUUUGAGUUCAGACCGGCGUGAGCCAGGUCGGUUUCUAUCUUUUAAUAAGUAAUAAGUUAUUUUAGUACGAAAGGAUUGAAUAACUAAAUUUUUUUUUGUGAUGGUAA
rnacentral:rRNA from 1 species